rnacentral:misc_RNA from 1 species
UGGUGGGCCAAAUCCUUUCCAAGAAAUUGUCAGCAAAAAAACACAAUUUAAGAAGGCGAAGAAGGACCAAUCUAGCUCUGGAAACAACCCAUUCAGGAUAUGAAGUCGUUGGUGUCAAUGUGAAGCAACAUGAUUUGUCGACAUGCUGUCAAAAUUGUAGGUAGCAACUCUUGCUAUGUUGUUAACAAGUUUUGUAAUUUUUUAUUCAAUUUAUUGGAAGGGGAGGAAUGAAAUAUGAGGGAGA